rnacentral:rRNA from 1 species
CAGUCGCCACGGUAAUACGGAGGGAGCUAGCGUUGUUCGGAAUUACUGGGCGUAAAGCGCACGUAGGCGGUUAUUCAAGUCAGAGGUGAAAGCCCGGGGCUCAACCCCGGAACUGCCUUCGAAACUAGAUGACUGGAAUCUUGGAGAGGUCAGUGGAAUUCCGAGUGUAGAGGUGAAAUUCGUAGAUAUUCGGAAGAACACCAGUGGCGAAGGCGACUGACUGGACAAGUAUUGACGCUGAGGUGCGAAAGCGUGGGGAGCAAACAGGAUUAGAUACCCGUGUAGUCCCUGUCUCUUAUAC